GAUGAACGCUGGCGGCGUGCUUAACACAUGCAAGUCGAACGGUGAAGCAGAGCUUGCUCUGUGGAUCAGUGGCGAACGGGUGAGUAACACGUGAGCAACCUGCCCCGGACUCUGGGAUAAGCGCUGGAAACGGCGUCUAAUACCGGAUACGAGAUUCCACCGCAUGGUGAGUUUCUGGAAAGAUUUUUUGGUCUGGGAUGGGCUCACGGCCUAUCAGCUUGUUGGUGAGGUAAUGGCUCACCAAGGCGUCGACGGGUAGCCGGCCUGAGAGGGUGACCGGCCACACGGGGACUGAGACACGGCCCAGACUCCUACGGGAGGCAGCAGUGGGGAAUAUUGCACAAUGGGCGGAAGCCUGAUGCAGCAACGCCGCGUGAGGGAUGACGGCCUUCGGGUUGUAAACCUCUUUUAGCAGGGAAGGAGCGAAAGUGACGGUACCUGCAGAAAAAGCGUCGGCUAACUGCGUGCCAGCCGCCGCAGUAAAAC
rnacentral:rRNA from 1 species